rnacentral:rRNA from 1 species
GCAUNGAUGAAAGAACGCAGCGAAAUGCGAUAAGUAAUGUGAAUUGCAGAAUUCAGUGAAUCAUCGAAUCUUUGAACGCACAUUGCGCCCAUUAGUAUUCUAGUGGGCAUGCCUGUUCGAGCGUCAUU